CCAGAAAGCUUCGUCCUUGGUUCUUCCCCCAGGCAACUGCUAUAACUCAGAUCAGUUGGGAUUGAUUAUUGUAUACAGGAUGCUGGUUUGCCUGAUGUUUGACCUUGACAUGUCUGAUGAUUUCUGAUCGUGAAUAGUCGUAUGUUUACGGAACAGGCAGAAACUCUAGAGACUGGAUAGCCUGGUGGUUCAGAGAAGGAUGUCAUUCAUCCCUACUCUAUCAAAGAUGGAGAAUAAAAUGGGAUCAAGAAUGAUGGGCAAUACAUGGGACAGCGGCCACGAGAACAUCCCGGACAUGCAGCAGACUAAUUGUAAACAGUCUAAAGUCCACAUGCCUCCUGUCCUGUCAUGGUGUCGCAAUACAAGGACUCACUUCCUGAGCAGUCUAACUGUUCUAGAAUCCACUCUCUCACAGGGGUGUUGAUUCUGAAAACAUUUCCCAAUCAACUUCCUGCAGCAAAUCUCUGCCUCGACGUCUUGUUUCCAUGGAAUGUGACUUAUGACACUAACAAAUGCUGAAACCUCCACCAGGUGGAAGAAGUUAACUACAUGAUGACCAGGCUGUAGCCAUGACAUAAGCUGCCACAGUUUUGAGAACUGACCUCAAGGAAAUGGGAACAAACCGACCCUGGAACUGAAAAUUAACUGUACUUAAAACAAUCAAGAUGAAGCUGGUCAGACCACUGCUGACCAAUUUUGAGAUGAAUGUCAGAGCUGCCUGCGAUGUUUCUGCAUGUAGCCCCUUCUCUCCGCCUAUAAAAGCUCUUGCCCCCUGAUUGUCUGGGGCGCAGAGGCAGUCGGCCUUUGGACAGGAGUCUGUCUUCCCUCUGGUCGCCGGCAUCCAAAAUAAAGCAAACUUUCCUUU